AACGAACGCUGGCGGCAUGCCCAACACAUGCAAGUCGAACGAGACCUUCGGGUCCAGUGGCGCACGGGUGCGUAACGCGUGGGAACCUGCACUUAGGUUCGGAAUAACUCCACGAAUGGGGUGCUAAUACCGGAUAAUGUCUUCGGACCAAAGAUUUAUCGCCUUUGGAUGGGCCCGCGUUGGAUUAGCUAGUUGGUAGGGUAAAAGACUACUAAGGCGACGAUCAAUAGCUGGUCUGAGAGGAUGAUCAGCGACUCUGAGACUGAGACGCGGCCCAGACUCCUACGGGAGGCAGCAGUGGGUGAUAGUGGACAAUGGGCGAAAGCCUGAUCCAGCAAUGCCGCGUGAGUUAUGAAGGCCUUAGGGUUGUAAAGCUCUUUUAACCGGGAUGAUAAUGACAGUACCGGGAGAAUAAGCUCCGGCUAACUCCGUG
rnacentral:rRNA from 1 species